UACGUAGGGUGCGAGCGUUGUCCGGAAUUAUUGGGCGUAAAGGGCUCGUAGGCGGUUUGUCACGUCGGGAGUGAAAACUCGGGGCUUAACCCCGAGCCUGCUUCCGAUACGGGCUGACUAGAGGUAUGCAGGGGAGAACGGAGUUCCUGGUGUAGCGGUGAAAUGCGCAGAUAUCAGGAGGAACACCGGUGGCGAAGGCGGAUCUCUGGGGCUGUUCUGACGCUGAGGAGCGAAAGCUGGGGGAGCAAACAGG
rnacentral:rRNA from 1 species